GCGGCUCGUUCGCCCAGUGGGCGCAUCAAGCGAUAGACGCAAAGCCGACGUGAUGAGGUCGUCGGUUCGAUUCCGACAAGCGGCU
rnacentral:tRNA from 1 species